AUACGGAGGGUGCGAGCGUUAAUCGGAAUUACUGGGCGUAAAGCGUACGUAGGCGGUUGGUUAAGUUAGAUGUGAAAGCCCCGGGCUUAACCUGGGAACUGCAUUUAAAACUGGCGAACUAGAGUUGAGUAGAGGGGAGUGGAAUUUCAGGUGUAGCGGUGAAAUGCGUAGAGAUCUGAAGGAACACCAGUGGCGAAGGCGACUCCCUGGACUCGAACUGACGCUGAGGUACGAAAGCGUGGGUAGCAAACGGCAUUAGAAACCCCAGUAGUCC
rnacentral:rRNA from 1 species